rnacentral:rRNA from 1 species
GGACCUACGGGAGGCAGCAGUAAGGGAUAUUGGUCAAUGGGGGAAACCCUGAACCAGCAACGCCGCGUGAGGGAAGACGGUUUUCGGAUUGUAAACCUCUGUCCUCUGUGAAGAUGAUGACGGUAGCAGAGGAGGAAGCUCCGGCUAACUACGUGCCAGCAGCCGCGGUAAUACGUAGGUGGCAAGCGUUAUCCGGAUUUACUGGGUGUAAAGGGCGUGUAGGCGGGAAAGCAAGUCAGAUGUGGAAACCAUGGGCUCAACCUGUGGCCUGCAUUUGAAACUGUUUUUCUUGAGUACUGGAGAGG